GGGCGUGUGGCUCAGUGGUAGAGCGUCUCCGUUAUAUGCUUAGAGGAGUCGAGCUUCGCUCACUUCUUUCAGACCAUACCACCGCUUGCGGUAAUACAGUUAUAAGCAGACAAUGAGAGGAAGGGCGGGUUCGAUUUCCGCCAUGCCCA